rnacentral:rRNA from 1 species
CAAGUCGUACGCGCAACUCUCUGUAGCAAUACAGGGGGCGGGCGCGUGGCGAACGGGUGCGUAACACGUGGGUAACCUUCCUUUAAGUGGGGGGUAACCCGUCGAAAGGCGGGCUAAUACCGCAUAACAUUCCGGCGGCUGCGGCUGCCGGACUCAAAGCCCGCAAGGGCGCUAGAAGAGGGGCCCGCGGCCGAUUAGCUUGUUGGCGAGGUAACGGCUCACCAAGGCAUGAUCGGUAGCCGGUCUGAGAGGGAUGCCGGGCACACUGGAACUGAGACACGGUCCAGACUCCUACGGGAGGCAGCAGUGGGGGAUCUUUGCGCAUGGGGCGAAAGCCUGACGCAGCAACGCCGCGUGGGGGGAUGAACCUCUUCGGAGUGUAAACCCCUUCCAACCGGACGACCCCCGGCAAGGAUUGACGGUACGGGUAAAAAAGCCCCGGUAACUAAU